AUCAGUAAUAUCGGCCAAUGAAAAAACAAGAACUAAUAAAAAAUUUCAAAUUGAAGAUGAGUUAUAUAGUAAAGUAAUAAUCCACUUGUCACAUAAAUAAGCCCAAUUUAAUGGGCUUUUAAAUUUACAGCAAUCCAGUCCAGAAUCCAGAUUACUUUGUUGAAAAACUCCAUUGCUAUCAGAUUCAUUUUGCCGAAGUUAGCAGAUUUCUGUCCAUAACUCUAAAUACAGCAGCAGAAGUUGAAGAAGAUGGUGAUGCGAGGACAGCCGUUAGUCACCAAGCUGGCGGCGCUGGCAAAGGAUGUGGUGUUCCCGGCGACGAUAAUCGCCGCUCUCGUCUACUCGCCGCCCGAUUCUUUGCGCGGAAAACCACAAUCUAAAUCCAGUUGAUUCAGGACGUCGAGUUCUUUGGAAUAGGUGAAAAGUUUUUCACGAUGGUUGAACGAGUACCUUUUGGUUAAAGUCGUGAUAUGUUGAAUGAAAAUGGUAUGUAAUAAUUGCUAUACUGUUUCAGUGAUGUAAACCGGUUGUAAACAACUGAGGAAUCUUUCAACUAUCUCAAUGCAGUUCUGUUUCUUUCUA